GAAAUAUUUUAUUUUAUACUAUUUGUUAUUUUUUUAAUGUUGCAUUAUCAUAAAAAAACUUAUGCUUGAUCUAAUGAGAAUGCAUAAGUUUUACUUACAGAGCCGAUAUAGUUCAUAUCUCUUUAUUUUUUUUUAUAGAGAAAUAAGAUUAGGAAUAAUGAAGGAUCCAUGAUUGGGUGUUUGCAUAGCAAGCUUGAAAAUUUUAUACCUGCAACUUAGUUUAUUGGAUGAUCAUAAAUUUAGAGUUAACUAUUUAUGAAUUUUGAGAUAUGAAUUUUGAUAUUUGAUAUUAGAUUUAGAUGCUCUAGAUCAAUUUUGAUUUAUUUGCUUGAUGAAUGAUCAAAUUGAAUCUUUUGUUCUAUUUUGUUUAUGAUAGAUUUUAGUUGAUUAUGAUUGAUAGAUUGUAUUAUUGAAGGCUGUAUCCCUUAGUAGCAUAAUUGUAUUAUACCCCAAAUUUGGGGCAUGAUAGCUAAGAUCCUAUGACAUACAAUGUUUGCAUAAAUUUUCCAUAAUGAAGUCAAAAACUACCUUGAACUGAGCUAAUGGUUAGCCUACCCUACCUGAAAGGUAUAUUGGGACUGAGUAUAAGCUAUACAUGGAACUAUGAUGACAAGUUGAAUUCCUUUCUAUGAAUGCAAUGUGUUAAGUACUCAGUGAUAUCAGGUAACCAUUUUGCCUUCAAUCUGCACUCAUUUGUCACUAAUGUACAAAACUAUUUCUUGCAAAGAGGCAUGGGAUGUGCAAAAGAUAUCACUUGAACAUGUUAUCUGAUGUAGCAAAUCCAAUCAUCAUUAAGGGCCAGUAUUACUACAUUGUUUCCAAUAAUUAUGCUCCUGAGGUAUGUGACCUCAAUUAAUAUUCUUUUGCUCGCUAUAGUCUUACUAAUAGCCCAAGUAAUAAAUAUAUCGUUAUAUGUGACAAUGUUUCAAUUCUAGAGAUAAUGAUAGAAUAUUUCUAUAACUAGUUUUAACAUUUCCAAUGGAAAGAGAGUAAAGAAUUAGAAAAUGAUCUUUGGAUGUGAUACACUUUGGAACUGAUCAUAGUCAAUGUGGUGGAAUCGACCCAUCAAAGCAGACUAUAAACGUCAAUCAAUUAGCUCUCACCAUGUGGCUAGGCUAGGGGCAUAUGGAGAUGCCCAGAUCUUUCCUAUCUGGUUAUAGCUAGCCCAUGAUGACAAAUAGCUUUCAUAACUAUUUAUGGAAAUUGGCAUGUGAGAGAAUCACUUGCAUCAUAUUUUUCGGACAUGCGAAUGGUUAUCCAAAAUGGUCGAUUGAUAUAUCCCAAGAUUUCAUAGCGAUGGGUACCGGCCCAAGCCUAUAUAAAUUGCUCUAGGGGGCUUUCUAUGUCAGUGAAGUUGAGUCAAGAAAAGCGAAGGGAAGCUAAGCGGAGUGGGGAUAGUAGAGUGAAGUCUAUUUGAGACUAAACCCUAAUUUCUAAACUUUCUAUGCUCCCUGGCUCUAAUCUCUCUGCUACUCAUGUAGAAUCUUCUCGAUUUUUCUAUGGGUUAUUUGACUAAGGCAAAAAGGAUCCCCUGCUCUGAUAUAUCUGCCACUCAUAUAGAACUUGCAUUAUUUCUUUCUGGAUUAUCUGACUUAGGCAUUGAAGGAUCUCCUAUCGGAUAUUCUCUGAUAAGUGGGCUUUAUUGUCUUUGGUGUUUCAAGAUCGAGUUAGAUGUUGGAUUGAAGAUUCAGCCACAUCUGAGUCUCAGCAAUUAUCAUCCACCAUUAAAGGAGGUGCAUCGAGAUCUUCGGCCAACUUCUUUGAUCCAUUUACCACCUCAUUGAGCUGUCCAGUGCACCAACCAGCUCGAUAACCUAGUCAAAUCAGCUCUCAAUAGCAACAAAUUAGUGCUAGAGGAAGGGUACUGUUUCUACUACUAGAGGUUCCACUCUACAGCAACCAUAUGAUCUUAAAAAAUACAACUAACUCUUUCCACCACCCAGCUAGAUGCACAGAUAAAAUCCCGCUUCAUAUAGAGUUUGUGAAGGGAUCCACCUCCAUCAGACAUUCAAACAACCAUGGUGGUCACCAUCAAGCAAUUCUUAUUGCUCCUGCAGCCAAUUUAGGUGUUGAAGACAUUCAUUUAGAGCCUUAAGAAGGUGGCUGCUAAUCUUUAGCAAUAGCAGCAGCACCAGCACCAAGAGGUUCAUAAGAGAGCAAUCAUGGAGUCCCCAUCUUGACCAAGCCACCACCUUCCUUGAUCGAGUCUGGAGCAGAGCUGUCACUCUUGCUUCAUGAGCUUUGAGAGAACUCCCCAUGAUCACAAGCUUGGAGCAAGCUUCUCUUCACCAUUGUUCUCUUCCUUAGAGUCCAAGGAAGGUACCUCAAAACCCUCAGGGACUCUUAGCUAGUCGUCAGACAAGUCCAAGGAGAGUUUGAAGAGCUUGUGGAAUGGCAACAUACCUUCGAAAGGUAAAAGAUAUCUCCUCAUCUUUUAAAAAAUUUAAGAUUUUAUAGAUACCCACAUCGAAUAAUGUUCGAGUUGAUCUACUCUCAAAGUUGGCAACAUCAGAAUGCAUUGAUCUCCAGAGGACAACAUCUAUGGAGCUGCGCGACAAAUUGAGCAUUGAGGAUCUAGCCCAAGUUUAGAUCUUCAACUUCGAGCCAAGCUAGAUUGACUUACUAGUUGACCACCUUCAAGAGGGGAACUCCAUGGGGAUAAAAAGGAGGCUUGGAGAACUAAGAACCAAGUUGCAUGCUAUAUUUUGCUCAAAGGAAACCUUUGCAAG
rnacentral:lncRNA from 1 species